rnacentral:lncRNA from 1 species
GGGCAAGUGGAAUUGGAGAACACUCCACUGGAUUCAUUUUAGGCUAUAAAUAGAAGAAUUACUGAAUUUUUUCCUUCUAAGUCACUUGCAUUUACCCCAGCAGUUUGUUACCGAGGCAAGCAGUCCUGAACACGAUGGGACAUGACAAUAGGAAAUGUAGCCUGAAGAAUAAGCAAUUCUUUGUUGCAAAGAACCAAAAUAAGCACAUCAGAGCAAGUUCAGAAGCCAAGAACUGCAGGUGCAACACUGCAAGCGUAGAGACUAUGGAACCAGCUGCGGCCCUUUGCUCAUCAGCAGCUGAGCAGGUCCACGAGGAAAGGCCGAGAACACACAGGGUGUUUCAAAGGCUGGCAGAGAGCUGCCAGUGUGCUGUGAGUGUCCACCUGCCCCACCCUCCGCGGGGAGGGAGGCUUUCCCUUCACCUCAAGCCAACGAGAAAGGAACUGCCUGAGAAAACCCUCCUGGAAAAAUCUGACAUGGGUUCUCUGAAGUUUGAAGAGCCAGCUGUAAGUCAGCUGAAAAGAACUUUUUUCAAGAAGACAUUCUGCCAGAAUGAGGCAUCUACAGCAGGAAGGGGCUGGAGAUACUUUGUCGAAAACAGAACCUGAGUUGGGAGUGCGGGGCAGGAAGCUUGUAAACAGUCAGCUGAAGGACCAGCCACACCAGGGAUCUGUGGUCUCCAGGCGGAGGGUUCUCAGAAGAACCCAUAAUAUUAUAUAUAUAUAUAUAAAAUCCAUAUAUCAUAUAUUUCUUUAUAUAUAAUAGUAGGUCCUUGCUACUUAUCUGUUUUAUAUAUAGUAGUGUGUACCAGUUAAUCCUAAACUCCUAAUUUAUCCCUCCCUCCCCUGCCGUUUCCCCUUUGGUAACCGUAAGGUUGUGUUCUAUGUCUAUGAGUCUAUUUCUGUUUUGUAAUAAGUUCAUUUGUUUCAUUUUUAUAGAUUUCACAUGUGAGUGAUACCACAUGGUGUUUGUCUUUGACUUACUUCACUCAGUAUGGUAAUCUCUAGGUCCAUUAAUGUUGAUACAAAAUUGCAUUAUUUAAUUAUUUUAUUAUGGCUAAUAAUUCCAUUGUGGAUAGAUAGAAAGAUAGAUGAUAGAUAGAUCACAUCUCCUUUUGGAGGUCAAUAUUCUUAGGUGAAUUUGUACCUGAAUAAAAGACUAAAUCCAAGGAAUCUUUUAAUUAUC